GAUGAACGCUGGCGGCGUGCCUAAUACAUGCAAGUCGAGCGAACGGACGAGAAGCUUGCUUCUCUGAUGUUAGCGGCGGACGGGUGAGUAACACGUGGAUAACCUACCUAUAAGACUGGGAUAACUUCGGGAAACCGGAGCUAAUACCGGAUAAUAUUUUGAACCGCAUGGUUCAAAAGUGAAAGACGGUCUUGCUGUCACUUAUAGAUGUAUCCGCGCUGCAUUAGCUAGUUGGUAAGGUAACGGCUUACCAAGGCAACGAUGCAUAGCCGACCUGAGAGGUGGAUCGGCCACACUGGAACUGAGACACGGUCCAGACUCCUACGGGAGGCAGCAGUAGGGAAUCUUCCGCAAUGGGCGAAAGCCUGACGGAGAAACGCAGCGUGAGUGAUGAAGGUCUUCGGAUCGUAAAACUCUGUUAUUAGGGAAGAACAUAUGUGUAAGUAACUGUGCACAUCUUGACGGUACCUAAUCAGAAAGCCACGGCUAACUACGUG
rnacentral:rRNA from 1 species